rnacentral:lncRNA from 1 species
CGCUAUGCAGAGAAAGCCCCCCUGGCUCUUCUCUCUCAAUCCAUAAUCCAGCGAUGCUGCAGCUGUAAAAGCAUUAAUAGAAAAUCAAUCCACAACCUCGCGGGGCAGCGAUCGUCGAGCGCCGUUUCCAGGCUGCCUUCCCUGGGGUCGGGAGCGGCCCCGCUCCCCCCGUGGCUGGCGCGGAAUGUGGUGAUCCGUCCCGGGGCGGGGAUGACUUCAUGCAGCCGGAGCUCCGCGGCGGGAGCGGAGGCUGCUGCUGGCAGGUGGGGCGCGGGCCGGCGCGAGCUGACCGAGCACUCGGCGGGCGCGGCGGGACUGCGGCCCGUGGCGGCGUGCGCGGGGACCUGCGCUGACUAGGUCCGGGGAAGUUUCCUGACUUUCUGAGAAGCCCUGGUUUCCCCAAAGAAGUGAUUUCUGAUAGAAAUCUGAAGGUCAUCUCCAAGAAAAAAGAGAUCUAGUAUAGUCAAUGAAUUAAAGACAAGAAGGUUUCCAAUCAGUCCCUGCUAUGUGGAUAUUUGGUAGCAAUGACUGAUGUGGAAACUACAUAUGCAGAUUUUAUUGCUUCAGGAAGAACAGGUAGAAGAAAUGCAAUACAUGAUAUCCUGGUUUCCUCUGCAAGUGGCAACAGCAAUGAAUUAGCCUUGAAAUUAGCAGGUCUUGAUAUCAACAAGACAGAAGGUGAAGAAGAUGCACAACGAAGUUCUACAGAACAAAGUGGGGAAGCCCAGGGAGAAGCAGCAAAAUCUGAAAGCUAACACCCCACUUUGACCCUCGACCACACCUGAAAAUGUCUCAAAUCUCCAGGAGUAUCUGGAAUGCAUUUGUUUCCAUGAGUGAAAAGAGGAAAAAGAAAAUGGCUGUGCUGCAUUGCAGGAACCUGCUCAUUAUCAUGUUAAAAAUGAGGGCAGAGGCUGUGGCUGCAGGCAGACUUUUCCCUACCUCUGUCAUUAGCAAUGGUUGAAAUCAUGUGGCUUGUGUUUGGGCGUCAUUUUUGUAUGGAUCCUUUCACUUGAUCAUAUGACGAAAUGCUUAUAGAGAGUAGCUCCGACCUAGAUGAUGAUUCUUCCUGUAGCAUCUGGCCCCUCACAAUGUCAGAGGAUUUAAUUGUGUCUAAUUGCGAAGGGUUGAUUGAACCCCAGAGUUUAAAUAUCUCUGGCUCAAGUGUUCACCCAGUAAAAGAAAGAUCCAGAAAGCACUGUUUUUAGCAUUACGUAUCUGUGUGUUACUGCUGUGUUAUUUACACUGUUUUGUAUUGUACAAUAUAUAUGCUCAGCACUGCCCCCUUCUCUGAUUGCUUAUGAAAAACAAAAUGAUGUACAUUACUGUGAAUUUUUAUACCACUCAUUUUUAAAAGGGCUGUCUUUUCAUUUUAGUUUUCCAUACUGUGGUGGUGUACACAGGAUAGAACACCCUUUUUUAAAACACAGUCUUUCCCCUUGCUCAUUGUAUGUUGAUGAGUUGAUUAAGUCUAACAGAUUCAUCAAGACUCCAUUGCUUUAUUAUAGAGACAUUUGAAAAUAUCCAUUAAUGUGAAUAUCACCUGAAUUCAAUCUGUCAAAUUUGUUUUAUUCUCAAGUGGAGAACUUCUCCCACAUAAUAUAUAUAUAUAUAUAUAUUUUAAUUUAUGAGAAUUUUGGACAAUUGGAAAGGUAGAAAAGAAAAGCCAAGAUCAUACUAAGGACUGGAAAUAUUUUGUUCUAUGGAAUCAAAUUUCUCACAAUGCUGUAUGAUACUAUUUAAAUUUGGAGGACAACUUAUCUUCACUAAGCUGAAUCAGGUGGAGAAAGUAAUCUCCUUGCAAUCAUGUGGACACCAAUCACAAAAGUAAAGCCCUGGUGUUGUGUUUUCAUGUCUUUUUUCAGCCCUCUCAGAUCCAAAUGUUAUUAUGCACUUUUUAAUGUUUGUAAACUUUUACUAAUAAUUAGUGUGAAUUGCAUUCUGAUACAAUAAUGAUUAUCAUUAGAAGCUAACAAAAUUCUCAUUAAUACUGUGUUUGAUGGCCUCUGCUGUGUUUUAACAUCGUGCUUCUUAUAUGGAAAGUUUUUGUGAGCUGUGUAAUCCCUCUGGUCAGUAUUAUGAAAUCAUUUGUCAGUGGUAAUAAAUAAGGAACCAGUAA